rnacentral:rRNA from 1 species
AACGCGAAGAACCUUACCUGGGCUUGACAUGCACGUGGUACGAGGCCGAAAGGGAGGACCCGCAAGGGAGCGUGCACAGAUGCUGCAUGGCUGGAGCGUGCCGUGAGGUGUUGGGUUAAGCCGCAACGAGCGCAACCCUUGAUUAGUUGCUACAUAGUUGGGCACUAAUGAGACUGCCGGUGACAAACCGGAGGAAGGUGGGGAUGACGAAGAACGGCCCUUACGGCCAGGGCUACACACGUACUACAAUGGUAGGGACAGAGGGCUGCAAACCCGCGAGGGCAAGCCAACCAGAAAACCUGUUAGCGGAUUGGAGUGCAACGACCAUGAAGCUGGAAGCUAGUAAGCAGAAGCAUUGCUGCGGUGAAUACGUCCGGGUUGUACACACCG